rnacentral:rRNA from 1 species
UACGGAGGGUGCAAGCGUUAUCCGGAUUCACUGGGUUUAAAGGGUGCGUAGGUGGGUCUGUAAGUCAGUGGUGAAAUCUCCGAGCUUAACUUGGAAACUGCCAUUGAUACUAUAGAUCUUGAAUACUGUGGAGGUCAGCGGAAUAUGUCAUGUAGCGGUGAAAUGCUAGAUAUGACAUAGAACACCAAUUGCGAAGGCAGCUGGCUACACAAAUAUUGACACUGAGGCACGAAAGCGUGGGGAUCAAACAGG